GAAAUUUAUAUAAUUAAGCUGCUAACUUAAUUUUUAGUGGAACCCAUUAAAAUUUCU
rnacentral:tRNA from 1 species